rnacentral:rRNA from 1 species
GAUCUGGCUCAGAACGAACGCUGGUGGCGUGUCUUAUACAUGCAAGUCGAGCGAGGCAGCAAUGCCGAGCGGCGAACGGGUGAGUAACGCGUAAGCAAUCUGCCCCAUAUCAGGAAAUACCCGUGCCAACGCGCGGUUAAUGUCCAGGAGAGUGGCCCUCUGCAUGGAGGGUUGACUAGAGAUUUAUCGGUAUGGGAUGAGCUUGCGUCCGAUUAGCUAGUUGGCGGGGCAACGGCCCACCAAGGCGACGAUCGGUAGCCGGCCUGAGAGGGUGAUCGGCCACAUUGGGACUGAGAUACGGCCCAGACUCCUACGGGAGGCAGCAGUAGGGAAUAUUGCACAAUGGGGGAAACCCUGAUGCAGCAGCGCCACGUGUGGGAAGAAGCAUUUCGGUGUGUAAACCACUGUCAUGAGGGAAUAAGGCCCUUAUUCGUAAGGGAUUGAAUGUACCUUGAGAGGAAGCACCGGCAAACUUCGUGCCAGCCGCCGC